rnacentral:tRNA from 1 species
GCAGUGGUGGUUCAGUGGUAGAAUUCUCCUCUUCUAUGCGAGAGACCUGGGUUCAAUUCUGGGCCAAUGUA